rnacentral:rRNA from 1 species
ACCUGAGGCUCAACCUCAGACCUGCAGUGGGUACGGGCAAGCUAGAGUGCGGUAGGGGAGAUGGGAAUUCCUGGUGUAGCGGUGGAAUGCGCAGAUAUCAGGAGGAACACCGAUGGCGAAGGCACAUCUCUGGGCCGUAACUGACGCUGAGGAGCGAAAGCGUGGGGAGCGAACAGGAUUAGAUACCCUGGUAGUCCACGCCGUAAACGGUGGGUGCUAGUUGUGGGUCACAUUCCACGUGAUCCGUGACGAAGUUAACACAUUAAGCACCCCGCCUGGGGAGUACGGUCGCAAGACUAAAACUCAAAGGAAUUGACGGGGGCCCGCACAAGCGGCGGAGCAUGCGGAUUAAUUCGAUGCAACGCGAAGAACCUUACCAAGGCUUGACAUAUAGAGGAAAAGCGUAGAAAUACGCUCCCCGCAAGGUCUCUAUACAGGUGGUGCAUGGUUGUCGUCAGCUCGUGUCGUGAGAUGUUGGGUUAAGUCCCGCAACGAGCGCAACCCUCGUCCUAUGUUGCCAGCACGUAAUGGUGGGAACUCAUGGGAGACUGCCGGGGUCAACUCGGAGGAAGGUGGGGAUGACGUCAAAUCAUCAUGCCCCUUAUGUCUUGGGCUUCACGCAUGCUACAAUGGCCGAUACAAAGGGCUGCGAUACCGCAAGGUGGAGCGAAUCCCAUAAAGUCGGUCUCAGUUCGGAUUGAGGUCUGCAACUCGACCUCAUGAAGUCGGAGUCGCUAGUAAUCGUAGAUCAGCAACGCUACGGUGAAUACGUUCCCGGGCCUUGUACACACCGCCCGUCAAGUCACGAAAGUCGGUAACACCCGAAGUCAGUGGCCCAACCGCAAG